UACGUAGGGUGCAAGCGUUAUCCGGAAUUAUUGGGCGUAAAGAGCUCGUAGGCGGUUUGUCGCGUCUGCUGUGAAACUGGAGGCUCAACCUCCAGCCUGCAGUGGUACGGCAGACUAGAGUGCGGUAGGGAGAUUGGAAUUCCUGGUGUAGCGGUGGAAUGCGCAGAAUAUCAGGAGGAACACCGAGUGGCGAAGGCAGAGUACGUCUGGCC
rnacentral:rRNA from 1 species